UACGUAGGAUGCAAGCGUUGUUCGGAAUUACUGGGCGUAAAGAGUACGUAGGCGGUAAUGUAAGUCUGAUAUUAAAAGACCAAAGCUUAACUUCGGGACUGUAUUGGAAACUGCAUUACUAGAGGACAAUAGAGGAAGUUGGAAUUCUCAGUGUAGCGGUGAAAUGCGUAGAUAUUGGGAAGAACACCAGUGGCGAAAGCGAACUUCUGGGUUGUUACUGACGCUGAGGUACGAAAGCGUGGGGAGCAAACGGG
rnacentral:rRNA from 1 species